AGUGAACGCUGGCGGUAUGCCUAAUACAUGCAAGUCGAGCGGCAGCACAGUAAGAUCUUGCUCUUACGGGUGGCGAGUGGCGGGCGGGUGAGAAAUACAUCAGAAUCUACUUUUUCUGGGGGAAUAACGGGGGGAAGGUUAUGCUAAUACCGCAUAUGUCCUACCGGUUAAAGCAGGGGUGCUUCGCACCUUUCGCGAUUGAAUGAGCUGAUGUCGGAUUAGCUAGUUGGCUAGGUAAAGGCCCACCAAGGCAACGAUACGUAGCUGGCCUGAGAGGAUGAUCAGCCACACUGGAACUGAGACACGGUCCAGACUCCUACGGGAGGCAGCAGUGGGGAAUCUUGGACAAUGGGCGAAAGCCUGAUCCAGCCAUACCGCGUGGGUGAUGAAGGUCUUCGGGUUGUAAAACCCUGUUGUUAGGAAAGAAAAGAAGCAGAUUAAUACCUGCACGUUCUGACGGUACCCAAAGAAUAAGCACCGGCUAACUUCGUG
rnacentral:rRNA from 1 species